rnacentral:rRNA from 1 species
UACAGAGGUCCCAAGCGUUGUUCGGAUUCAUUGGGCGUAAAGGGUGCGUAGGCGGCGCCGUAAGUCGGAUGUGAAAUCUCGGGGCUCAACCCCGAAACUGCAUUCGAUACUGCGGUGCUAGAGGACUCUAGAGGAAACUGGAAUUCACGGUGUAGCAGUGAAAUGCGUAGAUAUCAAGCGGAACACCAGUGGCGAAGGCGAGUCCCUGGACAACUCCUGACACUGAGGCACGAAAGCUAGGGGAGCAAACAGG